rnacentral:tRNA from 1 species
ACUCGGUUGGCAGAAGUCAGGUUAUCUCGCCACCCUUUCAAGGUGGAGUCACGGGUUCGAAUCCCGUACCGAGUACCA